rnacentral:rRNA from 3 species
AAAAUGAAUCAAAACUUUCAACAACGGAUCUCUUGGUUCUGGCAUCGAUGAAGAACGCAGCGAAAUGCGAUAAGUAAUGUGAAUUGCAGAAUUCAGUGAA